rnacentral:rRNA from 1 species
AGAAUCAACGCUGGCGGCGUGCCUAACACAUGCAAGUCGCACGAGAAAGGGACUUCGGUCCUGAGUACAGUGGCGCACGGGUGAGUAACACGUGAAUAAUCUACCUCCGAGUGGGGAAUAACUGAGAGAAAUCUUAGCUAAUACCGCAUAACACUUACGAGUCAAAGCAGCAAUGCGCUUGGAGAGGAGUUCGCGGCAGAUUAGUUAGUUGGCGGGGUAAUGGCCCACCAAGACGAUGAUCUGUAUCCGGCCUGAGAGGGCGCACGGACACACUGGAACUGAAACACGGUCCAGACUCCUACGGGAGGCAGCAGUGGGGAAUUUUUGCGCAAUGGGGGAAACCCUGACGCAGCAACGCCGCGUGGAGGAUGAAAUAUCUUGGUAUGUAAACUCCUUUCGAUGGGGAAGAUAAUGACGGUACCCAUAGAAGAAGCCCGGCUAACUUCGCGCCAGCAGCCGC